rnacentral:rRNA from 1 species
GACGAACGCUGGCGGCGUGCUUAACACAUGCAAGUCGAGCGGAAAGGCCCUUCGGGUACUCGAGCGGCGAACGGGUGAGUAACACGUGAGUAACCUGCCCCUGGCUUUGGGAUAACCAUCGGAAACGGUGGCUAAUACCGAAUAUUCAUCUCGGCCGGCAUCGGUUGUGGUGGAAAGUUUUCGGUCUGGGGAUGGGCUCGCGGCCUAUCAGCUUGUUGGUGGGGUAAUGGCCUACCAAGGCUUCGACGGGUAGCCGGCCUGAGAGGGCGACCGGCCACACUGGGACUGAGACACGGCCCAG